rnacentral:rRNA from 1 species
CAGAAUAAGCACCGGCUAACUCUGUGCCAGCAGCCGCGGUAAUACAGAGGGUGCGAGCGUUAAUCGGAUUUACUGGGCGUAAAGCGUACGUAGGCGGCUUUUUAAGUCGGAUGUGAAAUCCCUGAGCUUAACUUAGGAAUUGCAUUCGAUACUGGGAAGCUAGAGUAUGGGAGAGGAUGGUAGAAUUCCAGGUGUAGCGGUGAAAUGCGUAGAGAUCUGGAGGAAUACCGAUGGCGAAGGCAGCCAUCUGGCCUAAUACUGACGCUGAGGUACGAAAGCAUGGGGAGCAAACAGGAUUAGAUACCCUGGUAGUCCAUGCCGUAAACGAUGUCUACUAGCCGUUGGGGCCUUUGAGGCUUUAGUG